ensembl:lncRNA
CUGUUAUCCAUGCGGUUGCUAUGUGGAGUGUUUAGACCUGAGCCCGUCAUCAACGUCACGGAUUAAGGAGUCACGUGACCGGUAAAGGAGGCCGUGUAGAAGACCUUUGGUCAAUGGAAUAAAACGGAAAAAUGUAUCAACCGAACCAAAGCGUGGAAGUCUGUUUUCUCUACACCUGCUGAACGCCAGGUACCACAUACCUUCAUUAAAAUCAGAACUGCUACAGCAGAUCGCACGAAUCUUCCAGGAGAAAAAAACAAAACUCAGCAACAGAAUCUGCUUUUCUCUUUUCCUGCCUGGAAAAGACAAGAAACAGGAGAGGUGACAAAAAGGUGACAUGUGGCCUGAGUUCCUCCUGUGUGAAGGAAAAACAUCACAUUCAACCACAUCCCUGCAUCAAGAAGAGUGUGUUCUGUCUGUUUUCAUUCGAUGCAUCUGAGCCUCAGCAGCUGCUGUUAAUGGCUACACAAUGAAGGCCCAAUUACAGAUAAUUAGGUAGGGUGU